GAUGAACGCUGGCGGCAUGCCUAAUACAUGCAAGUCGAACGGGGUGCUUGCACCCAGUGGCGAACGGGUGAGUAACACGUAUCUAAUCUACCUAUUAGUGGGGGACAACAGUUGGAAACGACUGCUAAUACCGCAUAACACCUCUGAAGACAUCUUCGGUGGUUGAAAGGACCUUUUGGUUCGCUAGUAAAUGAGGAUGCGGCGUAUUAGCUAGUUGGCGAGGUAACGGCUCACCAAGGCAAUGAUACGUAGCCGACCUGAGAGGGUGAACGGCCACAUCGGGACUGAGACACGGCCCGAACUCCUACGGGAGGCAGCAGUAGGGAAUUUUUCACAAUGGGCGAAAGCCUGAUGGAGCAAUGCCGCGUGAUUGAUGAAGGUCUUCGGAUCGUAAAGAUCUGUUGUCAGGGAAGAACGGACGGAAGAGUAGAAUGUUUCCGUCUUGACGGUACCUGACCAGAAAGCCACGGCUAACUAUGUGCCAGCCGCCGCCGUAACAC
rnacentral:rRNA from 1 species